rnacentral:rRNA from 1 species
CCUACGGGUGACUGCAGUGAGGACUAUUGGUCAAUGGGCGCAAGCCUGAACCAGCCCAGUCGCGUGAGGGAAGACUGCCCUAUGGGUUGUAAACCUCUUUUGUCAGGGAGCAACGCCGGCUACGUGUAGCCGGACUGAGAGUACCUGUAGAAAAAGCAUCGGCUAACUCCGUGCCAGCAGCCGCGGUAAUACGGAGGAUGCGAUCGUUAUCCGGAUUUAUUGGGUUUAAAGGGUGCGUAGGCGGAAUGCCAAGUCAGCGGUAAAAUCGCGGGGCUCAACCUCGCUCCGCCGUUGAAACUGGCGGUCUUGAGUGGGCGAGAAGUAUGCGGAAUGCGUGGGGUAGCGGUGAAAUGCAUAGAUAUCACGCAGAACUCCGAUUGCGAAGGCAGCAUACCGGCGCCCAACUGACGCUGAAGCACGAAAGCGUGGGUAUCGAACAGGAUUAGAUACCCUGGUAGUC